rnacentral:rRNA from 1 species
AUUGAACGCUGGCGGCAUGCCUUACACAUGCAAGUCGAACGGCAGCACGGGAGCAAUCCUGGUGGCGAGUGGCGAACGGGUGAGUAAUAUAUCGGAACGUGCCCAGUCGUGGGGAUAACGUAGCGAAAGCUACGCUAAUACCGCAUACUAUCUAUGGAUGAAAGCGGGGGAUCGCAAGACCUCGCGCGAUUGGAGCGGCCGAUAUCAGAUUAGGUAGUUGGUGAGGUAAAGGCUCACCAAGCCGACGAUCUGUAGCUGGUCUGAGAGGACGACCAGCCACACUGGGACUGAGACACGGCCCAGACUCCUACGGGAGGCAGCAGUGGGGAAUUUUUGGGACAAUGGGCGCAAGCCUGAUCCAGCAAUGCCGCGUGCAGGAUGAAGGCCUCGGUUGU